rnacentral:rRNA from 1 species
GGAACGGCGAGGCCGGGUCCGUUCGGGUCGGCCGGCGAGGUGGACGGAACGGGUGAGUAAUGCAGUACGGAACGUCGCCUAUUAGGAGGUAGGGGAAUAACGUAGACGAAAGUUACGCUAAUACCGCAUAUUCUGUGAGCAGGAAAGCAGGGGGACCGCAAGGCCUUGCGCUCUUUGAGCGGCCGAUGUCAGAUUAGCUAGUUGGUGAGGUAAAGGCUUACCAAGGCGACGAUCUGUAGCGGGUCUGAGAGGAUGAUCCGCCACACUGGAACUGAGACACGGUCCAGACUCCUACGGGAGGCAGCAGUGGGGAAUUUUGGACAAUGGGCGCAAGCCUGAUCCAGCCAUGCCGCGUGAGUGAAGAAGGCCUUCGGGUUGUAAAGCUCUUUCGGCCGGGAAGAAGUCGCAUGGGUUAAUACCCUGUGUGGAUGACGGUACCGGAAUAAGAAGCACCGGCUAACUACGUG